rnacentral:rRNA from 1 species
GACGAACGCUGGCGGCAUGCUUAACACGUGCAAGUCGAACGAGAAUCUGCGGAUCAAGGAUUCGUCCAAGAGAAGCAGAGGACAGUGGCGGACGGGUGAGUAACGCGUGAGGAACCUGCCUUUCAGAGGGGGACAACAGUUGGAAACGACUGCUAAUACCGCAUAACGCGUAGAGGUCGCAUGGCCUUUACGCCAAAGAUUUAUCGCUGAAAGAUGGCCUCGCGUCUGAUUAGCUAGUUGGUGAGGUAACGGCCCACCAAGGCGACGAUCAGUAGCCGGUCUGAGAGGAUGAACGGCCACAUUGGGACUGAGAUACGGCCCAGACUCCUACGGGAGGCAGCAGUGGGGAAUAUUGGGCAAUGGGGGAAACCCUGACCCAGCAACGCCGCGUGAAGGAAGAAGG